AUUAAACGCUGGCGGAAUGCUUUACACAUGCAAGUCGAACGGUAGAGGGGGCAACCCCUCGAGAGUGGCGAACGGGUGAGUAAUAUAUCGGAACGUGCCCAGUCGUGGGGGAUAACGUAGCGAAAGUUACGCUAAUACCGCAUACGAUCUAAGGAUGAAAGCGGGGGAUCGCAAGACCUCGCGCGAUUGGAGCGGCCGAUAUCAGAUUAGGUAGUUGGUGGGGUAAAGGCUCACCAAGCCAACGAUCUGUAGCUGGUCUGAGAGGACGACCAGCCACACUGGAACUUGGACACGGUCCAGGCUCCUACGGGAGGCAGCAGUGGGGAAUUUUGGACAAUGGACGCAAGUCUGAUCCAGCCAUUCCGCGUGCAGGAUGAAGGCCCUCGGGUUGUAAACUGCUUUUGUACGGAACGAAAAGGUCUCUCUUAAUACGGGGGGCUCAUGACGGUACCGUAAGAAUAAGCACCGGCUAACUACGUGCCAGCCGCCGCGGUAA
rnacentral:rRNA from 1 species